rnacentral:rRNA from 1 species
CCUACGGGAGGCAGCAGUGAGGAAUAUUGCUCAAUGGGCGCUAGCCUGAACCAGCAAAGCAGCGUGAAGGAUGAAUGCCCUAUGGGUUGUAAACUUCUUUUAUGUGGGAGUAAAGUGCAGUAUGUAGACUGCGUUGCAUGUACCUUCUGAAUAAGGAUCGGCUAACUCCGUGCCAGCAGCCGCGGUAAUACGGAGGAUCCGAGCGUUAUCCGGAUUUUUUGGGUUUAAAGGGAGCGUAGGCGGGUUGUUAAGUCAGUUGUGAAAGUUUGCGGCUCAACCGUGAAAUCGCAGUUGAUACUGGCAUCCUUGAGUACAGGAGAGGUAGGCGGAAUUCGUGGUGUAGCGGUGAAAUGCUUAGAUAUCACGAAGAACUCCGAUUGCGAAGGCAGCCUGCUGGACUGUAACUGACGCUGAUGCUCGAAAGUGUGGGUAUCAAACAGGAUUAGAUACCCGGGUAGUC